UUUAUACAUGGAUAUUUAUGAAUGUUUUUAAGUACGAUGUGAGGAUCAUAAGUUCAUAACAUAUGGGACUGUUUUAGACAAUAUCAUUUAUCUUAAUAUGGUUCUCAGUAUGAAACACUUUUUGCUGCUCCUGUAGGUUAUGUGAAAUUUGGACAUAACAGAGAAGACAAUGGAGUAGUGCAUCAUGAAUGGGCCUCCGCAGCUCAGUGAGUUCAUUAGCUUUUGAACAACCAUUCGAUUAGCUUUGGAAAAGGUUGAAGAAGGCAGAGGACCUUGGUUUACAGUUAAACAGAGCCAUAGACCUCGGUGAGAAUAACAGUCAUAUACCAUAGGAUGAGAAAGGAAGAUUUACAAGCAGCAGCAGA